UGUGUGUGUGGUGUUUGAGUGAUUGUCGAGCUAUGAUGACGACAACAACAACCAACACGAUUGCUAUGCUUCAAAACUAGAUCAUCAAUCUUAUCAACAAGACGAAGGCUAAACAAAGUUGAAGACUUUAGCAAUUGUGUUGGCUAUAGAGGAUGUGUUCAGUGCUCAUCGUUGUUUGAAUAAGGACAUUGAAAUAGGACAACGAAUGAUUACAAUAUCAACAGUUGGUGUUCCAAACACAAUCAAGAAACUUGCCUCUCAUAAGCUUCAGUCCACACUUAGCUGUCAGCUUACAUGCUCCAAUACUCGCUGAGACAGAUGGUCAAGAGUCUCAGCUAGAUGCAGAAGCUGUUCUGUGCUAAUGUCCCAGAUUGAACCAAUCUCUGGUUUUGCCAAAGUAAUGGCUCUGUCCAACUUUGUUUGAAGAGCAGUCUUUGUUCAAGUUGGCUUGGUCAGAGCAGCGACGACCUUAACGCAGGCUUAUAGAUUAGGCUUAUGUCUAUGAUGUAUAUACUUCGGUGACGAGUGAGCAAGUUUAAGAAGAGUGUUGAUUGAAUUUUAACGAUAUGAACAGAUUACAUUAAUUAUCAUAUUAUUUGCUUAUAUUCUA